GACGAACGCUGGCGGCGUGCUUAACACAUGCAAGUCGAACGAAGAGCGAUGGAAGCUUGCUUCUAUCAAUCUUAGUGGCGAACGGGUGAGUAACGCGUAAUCAACCUGCCCUUCAGAGGGGGACAACAGUUGGAAACGACUGCUAAUACCGCAUACGAUCUAAUCUCGGCAUCGAGGAUAGAUGAAGGGUGGCCUCUACAUGUAAGCUAUCACUGAAGGAGGGGAUUGCGUCUGAUUAGCUAGUUGGAGGGGUAACGGCCCACCAAGGCGAUGAUCAGUAGCCGGUCUGAGAGGAUGAACGGCCACAUUGGGACUGAGACACGGCCCAGACUCCUACGGGAGGCAGCAGUGGGGAAUCUUCCGCAAUGGACGAAAGUCUGACGGAGCAACGCCGCGUGAGUGAUGACGGCCUUCGGGUUGUAAAGCUCUGUUAAUCGGGACGAAAGGCCUUCUUGCGAAUAGUGAGAAGGAUUGACGGUACCGGAAUAGAAAGCCACGGCUAACUACGUG
rnacentral:rRNA from 1 species